UUGAAGAAGCUACCAUGAUUCCGUUGAAUGUAUUUUCUUUCAAGAAUUCAGCUGAGAUUUUGGCUACUUGUGGUGAAUACCACUAUCUAACUAGUAUUGUGAUUAAACCAAUAAUCUGUUUCUUGAGUUGUCAUACUGAUUUAUUGUGUAAUGUUUACACAACUAUUUCUCAUUAUAUGUUUAUGUUGAACAUGUUUCAGUUAGUUCUCAUCGGCAAACACUUAUUAAUGCUUCUCAAUUGAGCAUCAAAAACUACUGACAUUGUGCUAUUGUUAUACUAAACAUGUUGGUUUCGAUUUAAAAUGGAGGUUUUUGAUGGGCAAGAUAGUGUUGUCUUCUUGCUAUUUGAUCUUGAGGCAUAGACCUCUUCUUGCUAUUUGAUCUUGAGGCAUGUGAAGAGCUUCUGAACACUAUUGAAGUAAGCUGACACACAUAUAGACCUCUAAGGACUGAUAUUAUUUUGUUAGGAUAUUUGAUAUGAGUUAAGCCAAUACAUAUGUUACGGUUCAUUACUAACUAUGGCCUCCUUAUUUAAUAGAUUGAGAAGAAAGUCAUUCCUAAUGGUGAUUACCCAGAUGACAUUGAAGAAUGCCUAGCUGGCAAAGAAAUGCUAUUCAAAGUGUGCAACAAUUCUGGAGUUAAGCAUGAUCGAGAUGAUUGCUUCCAAAUUCUAAGGAUAUGUACUGACCUUGGUAUCAUUGCAAUGUUCCAUGAACAUGAUGUCUUAGUUACUCCCAAACAGGUUUUUAUUUUUUCAUUUCCCAUUGUUCAUCUAAUCCAAUUUAUUAUUCUAUAAUUUUACAUGAUAUAGCUAGGAUUUAUUUCAUUUUAGAUGAUUAUAGAGGUUUCAAUUUUAUUCAUUGAAUAUGAAAACUUUUACAGUUGUGUCUUCUUGCUAUUUGAUCUUGAGGCAGAGCUUUUAGCUGGCUUUUCAUGUGAAAAGAUUCUGAACACUAUUGAAGUAAGCUAACACACAUAUAGACCUCUAAGGACUGAUAUUAUUUUGUUAGGAUAUUUGAUAUGAGUUAAGCCAAUACAUAUGUUACGGUUCAUUACUAACUAUGGCCUCCUUAUUUAAUAGAUUGAGAAGAAAGUCAUUCCUAAUGGUGAUUACCCAGAUGACA
rnacentral:lncRNA from 1 species